AGUGAACGCUGGCGGUAGGCCUAACACAUGCAAGUCGAACGGCAGCACAGUAAGAGCUUGCUCUUACGGGUGGCGAGUGGCGGACGGGUGAGGAAUACAUCGGAAUCUACUUUUUCGUGGGGGAUAACGUAGGGAAACUUACGCUAAUACCGCAUACGACCUACGGGUGAAAGCAGGGGAUCUUCGGACCUUGCGCGAUUGAAUGAGCCGAUGUCGGAUUAGCUAGUUGGCGGGGUAAAGGCCCACCAAGGCGACGAUCCGUAGCUGGUCUGAGAGGAUGAUCAGCCACACUGGAACUGAGACACGGUCCAGACUCCUACGGGAGGCAGCGGUGGGGAAUAUUGGACAAUGGGCGCAAGCCUGAUCCAGCCAUACCGCGUGGGUGAAGUAGGCCUUCGGGUUGUAAAGCCCUUUUGUUGGGAAAGAAAGGCAGCAGGUUAAUACCCCGCUGUUCUGACGGUACCCAAAGAAUAAGCACCGGCUAACUUCGUG
rnacentral:rRNA from 1 species